AUCAUAACCACAACUAUGUAUCAAUAUGCCUAGACCAGACAAAGUGUAUUGCGUUGUUGCAAUCGUAUUGCACUUGUCCCGGUCUAAGCAUUUGGUAAGAAAG
rnacentral:pre_miRNA from 1 species